rfam:Streptococcus dysgalactiae subsp. dysgalactiae ATCC 27957 chromosome, whole genome shotgun sequence.
CAUCCUGUGCAACCGCUCGAAAGUCGUUUUCAAGUAGAUUAAAUCUCACGAUUCAAGGCGAGUCUUCACAGAGGG